rnacentral:rRNA from 1 species
GAUGAACGCUGGCGGCGUGCCUAAUACAUGCAAGUCGAGCGAACAGAUAAGGAGCUUGCUCCUUUGACGUUAGCGGCGGACGGGUGAGUAACACGUGGGUAACCUACCUAUAAGACUGGAAUAACUCCGGGAAACCGGGGCUAAUGCCGGAUAACAUUUAGAACCGCAUGGUUCUAAAGUGAAAGAUGGUUUUACUAUCACUUAUAGAUGGACCCGCGCCGUAUUAGCUAGUUGGUAAGGUGACGGCUUACCAAGGCAACGAUACGUAGCCGACCUGAGAGGGUGAUCGGCCACACUGGAACUGAGACACGGUCCAGACUCCUACGGGAGGCAGCAGUAGGGAAUCUUCCGCAAUGGGCGAAAGCCUGACGGAGCAACGCCGCGUGAGUGAUGAAGGUCUUCGGAUCGUAAAACUCUGUUAUUAGGGAAGAACAAAUGUGUAAGUAACUGUGCACGUCUUGGCGGUACCUAAUCAGAAAGCCACGGCUAACUACGUG